GACGAACGCUGGCGGCGUGCCUAAUACAUGCAAGUUGAGCGCUGAAGGUUGGUACUUGUACCGACUGGAUGAGCAGCGCACGGGUGAGUAACGCGUGGGGAAUCUGCCUUUGAGCGGGGGACAACAUUUGGAAACGAAUGCUAAUACCGCAUAAAAACUUUAAACACAAGUUUUAAGUUUGAAAGAUGCAAUUGCAUCACUCAAAGAUGAUCCCGCGUUGUAUUAGCUAGUUGGUGAGGUAAAGGCUCACCAAGGCGAUGAUACAUAGCCGACCUGAGAGGGUGAGCGGCCACAUUGGGACUGAGACACGGCCCAAACUCCUACGGGAGGCAGCAGUAGGGAAUCUUCGGCAAUGGACGAAAGUCUGACCGAGCAACGCCGCGUGAGGGAAGAAGGUUUUCGGAUCGUAAAACUCUGUUGGUAGAGAAGAACGUUGGUGAGAGUGGAAAGCUCAUCAAGUGACGGUAACUACCCAGAAAGGGACGGCUAACUACGUG
rnacentral:rRNA from 1 species